UGGCGGCAGGCCUAACACAUGCAAGUCGAGCGGUAACAGAAAGUAGCUUGCUACUUUGCUGACGAGCGGCGGACGGGUGAGUAAUGCUUGGGAACAUGCCUUGAGGUGGGGGACAACAGUUGGAAACGACUGCUAAUACCGCAUAAUGUCUACGGACCAAAGGGGGCUUCGGCUCUCGCCUUUAGAUUGGCCCAAGUGGGAUUAGCUAGUUGGUGAGGUAAUGGCUCACCAAGGCGACGAUCCCUAGCUGGUUUGAGAGGAUGAUCAGCCACACUGGGACUGAGACACGGCCCAGACUCCUACGGGAGGCAGCAGUGGGGAAUAUUGCACAAUGGGCGCAAGCCUGAUGCAGCCAUGCCGCGUGUGUGAAGAAGGCCUUCGGGUUGUAAAGCACUUUCAGUCAGGAGGAAAGGUUAGUAGUUAAUACCUGCUAGCUGUGACGUUACUGACAGAAGAAGC
rnacentral:rRNA from 1 species